rnacentral:rRNA from 1 species
UACGGGGGGAGCAAGCGUUGUUCGGAUUUACUGGGCGUAAAGGGCGCGUAGGCGGUCAGCACAAGUCAGUUGUGAAAUCUCCGGGCUUAACUCGGAAAGGUCAACUGAUACUGUGCGACUAGAGUGCGGAAGGGGCAACUGGAAUUCUCGGUGUAGCGGUGAAAUGCGUAGAUAUCGGAAGGAACACCGGUGGCGAAAGCGGCGCGCUGGACCUCUUCUGACGCUGAGGCGCGAAAGCCAGGGGAGCAAACGGG